UGUCGUGGCCUAAUGGUCUGAGAGUCGGACUUGUAACCUGAAAGUGAACCCGAAGGUCAUGGGUUCGAGUCUCAGGCCGGCAG